rnacentral:rRNA from 1 species
GAUGAACGCUGGCGGCGUGCCUAAUACAUGCAAGUCGAGCGAACGGACGAGAAGCUUGCUUCUCUGAUGUUAGCGGCGGACGGGUGAGUAACACGUGGAUAACCUACCUAUAAGACUGGGAUAACUUCGGAAAACCGGAGCUAAUACCGGAUAAUAUUUUGAACCGCAUGGUUCAAAAGUGAAAGACGGUCUUGCUGUCACUUAUAGAUGGAUCCGCGCUGCAUUAGCUAGUUGGUAAGGUAACGGCUUACCAAGGCAACGAUGCAUAGCCGACCUGAGAGGGUGAUCGGCCACACUGGAACGGAGACACGGUCCAGACUCCUACGGGAGGCAGCAGUAGGGAAUCUUCCGCAAUGGGCGAAAGCCUGACGGAGCAACGCCGCGUGAGUGAUGAAGGUCUUCGGAUCGUAAAACUCUGUUAUUAGGGAAGAACAUAUGUGUAAGUAACUGUGCACAUCUUGACGGUACCUAAUCAGAAAGCCACGGCUAACUACGUG